GUAGGUGAACCUGCGGAAGGAUCAUUACUAUGAAAUCCAAACCUACUCAACCAAGCCAAUUAGUUGCUGGGCGCAAGCCGAGCAGCCAACAACCUAACCAAAAGAAAGCUAACCAAGCUCAUACCUAAAACAAAUCCUCAACGAUGGAUAUCUAGGUUCCUACAACGAUGAAGAACGCAGCGAAGUGCGAUAAGCAAUGCGAAUUGCAGAGCCGAGAGUCAUCAGAUUUUUGAACGCAACUGGCACCGGCGGGUUAUCCCGGCGGUAUGCUUCUCUCAGUGUGUGAAUAUCUCAUCACCUAAAACCUAAUGCGAUAGAUGCCCUUCUAUUGCUAAACACGAAAGCACUCUGAACCCUGCAGCGGUAGUCCCGGUCCUCGACUGGGACGGCCGCACUCAAUGCAGUAGUCACAUUCUCAAAUGUGAACUCAUUGAGCGUAGAGUCAGCGCUUGCUCGCAAGCCAGUGCUUAGACACCCAAAUUUUCUUAGCAUCUGAGAUGAAGUAGGAGGACCCGCUGAACUUAAGCAUAUCAGUA
rnacentral:rRNA from 1 species